AUUGAACGCUGGCGGCAGGCCUAACACAUGCAAGUCGAACGAGUGGCGGACGGGUGAGUAAUGUCUGGGAAACUGCCUGAUGGAGGGGGAUAACUACUGGAAACGGUAGCUAAUACCGCAUACCAUCAGCUGAGCCCAGAUGGGAUUAGCUUGUUGGUGGGGUAACGGCUCACCAAGGCGACGAUCCCUAGCUGGUCUGAGAGGAUGACCAGCCACACUGGAACGGAGACACGGCCCAGACUCCUACGGGAGGCAGCAGUGGGGAAGAUUGCACAAUGGGCGCAAGCCUGAUGCAGCCAUGCCGCGUGUAUGAAGAAGGCCUUCGGGUUGUAAAGUACUUUCAGCGGGGAGGCGUUACCCGCAGAAGAAGCACCGGCUAACUCCGUGCCAGCCGCCGCGGUAAUAC
rnacentral:rRNA from 1 species